rnacentral:rRNA from 1 species
GUACUUGUACCAACUGGAUGAGCAGCGAACGGGUGAGUAACGCGUGGGGAAUCUGCCUUUGAGCGGGGGACAACAUUUGGAAACGAAUGCUAAUACCGCAUAAAACUUUAAACACAAGUUUUAAGUUUGAAAGAUGCAAUUGCAUCACUCAAAGAUGAUCCCGCGUUGUAUUAGCUAGUUGGUGAGGUAAAGGCUCACCAAGGCGAUGAUACAUAGCCGACCUGAGAGGGUGAUCGGCCACAUUGGGACUGAGACACGGCCCAAACUCCUACGGGAGGCAGCAGUAGGGAAUCUUCGGCAAUGGACGAAAGUCUGACCGAGCAACGCCGCGUGAGUGAAGAAGGUUUUCGGAUCGUAAAACUCUGUUGGUAGAGAAGAACGUUGGUGAGAGUGGAAAGCUCAUCAAGUGACGGUAACUACCCAGAAAGGGACGGCUAACUACGUGCCAGCAGCCGCGGUAAUACGUAGGUCCCGAGCGUUGUCCGGAUUUAUUGGGCGUAAAGCGAGCGCAGGUGGUUUAUUAAGUCUGGUGUAAAAGGCAGUGGCUCAACCAUUGUAUGCAUUGGAAACUGGUAGACUUGAGUGCAGGAGAGGAGAGUGGAAUUCCAUGUGUAGCGGUGAAAUGCGUAGAUAUAUGAGGAACACCGUGGCGAAAGCGGCUCUCUGGCCUGUAACUGACACUGAGGCUCGAAAGCGUGGGGAGCAAACAGGAUUAGAUACC